UUUUUUUUUUGUCUCUACACGCUAGGAUAUGAUAUUUUUUUUUAUAUGUAUAUAUAGGCAUAGAAGACACCAGGAAAUACCGAUGGAUAGUGCAAACUAGACCAGUAAUAGUGCAUUGCUUGGGAGAUAAAAUUUGAGCAAAGUGAAUUUCUGCCUUUGUUAUGAAAGGUGAUUAAUUCUUAAUAGGGAUGACAGUUAUGUUAGUGUUGCAGAUCUCCACUGGCUAGUAAAGAGACGAAUCUAAGAAUUUCGCAGAGCUUCAUACGUUUGGAAGAGCCGGAUGAUAUGGCUCUUGUAGCCUUGCUGAUGCAUGACAUAUAUUUUCUCUCUUUCAAGACUUCUUGUCACCACGUGUUGUAGUUAUUCAUCCUCAAUAUCUCUGGAGUAUGAUAAACCUAGAGAAUAACAACUAUUGGUAUUUAUUUUUAGGAAUUUUGUAACUGUGAGCUGCUAGACUAGGUGGAUCAUCUUGAUCUUGGUAUAAAGUCAAAAGAGUAAUACAAAUCUUCAUUUUCAAGAGAGAAAAAAAAAAGCAAACUAUUGAUCUACCGAAGGACUAAUGACUAUAUGUCACUGUCGAGCACCAAGUCUUCUAUAAGAAGCCAGGCAUCCCUAAGCAAACGAGGAAUAGCCUAUUUAUCAUUUUUACUUCGCAUCCCUAAGCCUUCUAAUUACUGUAUGGUGCUUUUAUGUCUAUACAGUCUACACACUAGGUAUAUGAUUAGGAAUGGGCAUGGAAGGCACUAGGAACUAUGGAUGCAUUUGUGGAAUCACAACAUGCAGUACGUCAAUGGUUACAAGUAUUAUUUCUCAUGUGGCGGUCAUACCUAUCCUCACGUGCUUACAUGCUUCUAUAAUUCCUUUGUAAUUGGUAAAAUGAAGGAUUGCAGCUUUUAGUAGUAUAUACAGAUACAUAGAGGUGGAGUGCCCCCUUCGUAAAAAAAAGGCAAUAACAUUGCUGUAAAAGUAUUCAGCUUUGCGCCAAAGGAUGUAAAUCGUAGCUAUACCUUCCUACUUACUGACUUGUUGGCAACUAAUAAGCAGGUCCAAUGCAAAUCUCUUGAUGUACUCCCUCCGUCCCAUAAUAUAAGAUAUUUUUUGAUACUAGUGUAGUGUCAAAAAAGUCUUAUAUUAUGGGAUGAAGAGGGUAGUUUAGACAAGUAGAUACAAAUCCAAGUCUUGCGUGAAAUCAAAUUAAUUAACAUCAACAAAAAUAGCUCAAGAAUGAUAUUCAAAUCAGCAUUGCAUCAUGAGAAAACAUGUCGACCAUGAAAUUAAACUGCUAGGACUUCGAACUCUAUGCAUGACUAGUAAGAUGCCCGUGCGUUGCACGAAACACCGAAAUGCAUUGAUUCGGGAGUUAUUUAUUUGACAAAGUAUGUGUGGGGUCAUCUCAUGUGUAACAAAUACCAAUAGGUUUCUUCGGAAAUUCAUUCUUCUCUAGAGCUCACAAGCAUCUAGAUGAAUAGUAUAUGUAGGUGAAAUAGAUAAACAUAAAAUCUUUUGUAAAUAAAAGUGUUCAAGUGUUAAAUUUGCAUCCAAAACUUCAUGAAGAAAUAACAUUUAUUGUGCUUUGCAAAAAUGAUCUUUAAACAUUAUUUUUUGAGUAUCGAUUUUGUUUAGGGGGCAGAUGGGCACCAAGAGUAGUGACCUCUCUAGAUCCUUCUUAUUUUUUUCCUGAGAUGGCUAGAUGAGGUGAGAGGGAGAGAUGGAUGAACGUGAAAGGCAGGGGGUUAUCUGUAAACAAGGAGUGGAGUGCGGGUUUUCUUUUUGCAAAACUGACAUAUUUUGUCUCACAUGCGUUGGAUGUAAAUUGAACGGUUGUAAAUGAAGGAUGGCAGGCACACCAUCAUCACCAAUUCAGCUUUUUAUAGUGGUAUAUCUCUACUCUUAUAAAAAAACCGAGUUGGUGAUGAUGGUGUGCCUGCCAUCUUGUAAUAUAGACCGUCCGAUAUAUAUCUGAUGGAUAGAAAGCAAACUAUGAAAAUUUUACAAAAGAUACCCGCACAUCUCUCCACAUUUACAGAUAAGGCCUUGCCUCGUUCAUCCUUAUCUCCCACAACCUCAUUGAUGAGCAAUUAAAAAAGGAAGUCUUUGAAACAAUCUAGCAUGGUGGCCGCUGCCGCCUGCCGGCGCCAUCCAUCCCCAUGCCCCGCCCAGUCCGACCACCAGUCACCACCACGCUGCACUCCUCCUCACCUUAUCUCCCAUCUUUCAUUUUUUCGAUGAAAUUCCCGAGAUACCAUUUUUCCGAUAAAAUUCUCAAGAUAUCAUUAGUUUUUACACAUGGGAUUACUCCUGCAUGGGUCAAUCACAACAAGUGUUUUGUAAAAAAAUGCAUCUUGAUGUUCCGUGCAAUGCACGAGCAUCUUGCUAGUAGAUAUAGAUAUAUAGAUAUAGAAUAUGAACUUGCUAUUAGUAGACAUACAUAACAGUACACAUGAGCCUGAAAUAUUUUGUGCAAUAUCAAGAAGAGCUAUAUGUAACCAUGAUUUCUAAAGCUUUGAAGCAAACUGAUUCAAGCUAAAACUAGUUCUUUCACUAAAGAUAUCACAUGCUAGAACAUGUAAAUGAAUUCGGAAAAAGGGGCUAAAUCGUAGAACUGAGAAAGUAUAACCUUCUUUGAUUAAACACAUAUGAAGACAUGAGCAAAUUCAUCUUGUUUGAAGUAUUGAUAAAGCUCUCAUAGUUGCUAACCAACUCGAGGACUAAACUCAUAUCCAACUCGAGGACUAAGGUCAUUACCGAGGGAUUUCUAAAUACUCACCUACCAUUGGACUAAAGACUUCAUGUCAGUGCCUAAUACCCCAAGUCUUUACAAGAAGCAAGACUCCCCUCAGCAAAAGAUGAACGGGGUAUUCCCCAUUUUACUUCUCUUGGAAUUAUGCAAUCACAUUUCAUGCAUUAUUAGUGAUGUCUCUUCACACUAGUACAUGCAUUUGAUAGGUAUAGGCAUAGAAUGCACCAUGAACUAGCUACCUACUGAUUGAUCACUAGAAUCACAACAUGCACUCGGUGACUGUUUUGACUGCUAUCUCAUGUUGUUCCAGCUGGACCUUUAGCCGUGCUACCGUGCCAUCUUGAGCAUGCAGCAUAGUGAUAUUUGUUUGUUUGGCUCAGGUGACGUGGGGGUCAAGAGGCUUGGAUGGAAUUGGGAUGGUGGCAAAUUUGCUAUUCGUAGUGAAGGUUGUCAAAAUAGGACAAGAGAAGUCUAUGGUGUUGGCUGGAGAGCCUCUAGAUUUGCCAGCUUUCUUUAUCAGUUUGUCCGCAUAGCGAUUUCAUCAUAUCAAUGCCACCCCAUUUUACAAUUUUACAAACAUUGCACAGUUGAAAAAGUGAUGGCCUUGUUACUGCAGACCAAUGUUGCUGGUACCUUGGCAAUGGAGAUGACUACGCAAUGAGUCAUGUUGACCCAUUGACACAAUACGUCCUAUUUGAGUGGGGGAAAACAUGCAUAACUCAAGAUUAGUAGUAGAAUGCCAGUAAUACACCCGCCGGCCUCAUGAAUGGCCUAGACAAGAACUGUCCCGGGCAUACCUGCAAACAUGGAAAGAUUAUUUUGUAGAAUACGGACUAACCAAAAAAUUUAAACUUCAGCGUUAUGUACUUUGUAAGGCCCCAUGACUUAGUUCUUUUUCUUUUUGCGAAAUCAUGACUUAGUUCGGUUAGACUAGCUCUCUUAAUCAACCGAAAAAGUAAAGAUCCUUCAGAAAGAAAAUUAACUAUGCUCACAAUGAAUAUUACAAGUUGAACUUAAUUACUAAAGAUGGUCCAGCCUUCACAAGAUUGAAAGCUUGCAUGCAAACUGAUUUGAGCUAAGCCUAGUUUUCUUCCAUAAGUCCAGGAGACCAUCUCCUAAAACCUGCACCAAUAAGGAUCAGCUGCAAAAGUACACGUAUAAGUGAAUGAGGUGAAAAGGGAUAACCAGAGAUUUAAUUACUAAAUGUAGAAUUAAGAACAUAUUGUCUCGAUGUUUUACUUUGACUGGAUGCAAACAACAACAUUGACAAAUUAAACCCCUCAAUAACCUUCUGGAUUAUGCAAAGCCAUCAGUCCUACAUUUUCCCUCCUGGAGACACAUUUAAACAAUUGACUGUGACCAAAUGAGGAGAAAAGCUCAUUAGCACCAAAGAAUCAACAAUCAAAUAUUACGGAUUCCAAAAUCAUGUUAGCUCAAAAACAACAUCAGAAAGCACCUUGCAUAAUAAUUACUGAGAUGCGGAGAUUGGAACCACAAUGCCGAUUACCAAAGAUAUGGAUCUAAAAAGGGUAGAUAAUCCUAAUUAUCAAAGAGAAAAGAUGAUACAUUUUUCUCAUUCCCAAUUACGUAUGUAGUGUCAUGCAUCCUACAGAAGGAUGCACUUAAGGCAUUUCCUUUAUAUUGACGACCUAGGUAAAAGAGCAGCGUUCAUGAGGUUCAUUCUUAGUGUGCAAUUCUCGGUGCUUAGGUGACGUCACAUAUAGGUUCUACUAAACAUACCUAUGACAAAAGAGAGAAAAAAACACUUUUUGCACUGACGAUACAACAUUGAACUGGGCUCUAAGUGCUAAUGUUAGCAUUUAGACAGAAGGGUCCUUGUCAAAGCUUUGAAGGUGGUAUUAAACAACAAUUCAGCUCAGAAGGCAAAAAAAAAACUAUAAAUUAGACUGAUAAGAGUGUGUUGCUCUUCGGACAAAGUUCUGAGCAGAGUGAAUUUCUGCCUUUGUUAUGAGAAGUAGUUAAUUCUUAAUAGAGGUUAAGGCUAUGUUAUUGUGGCAAAUCUCCGUUGUAGUAAAGAGGCGAAUAUGAGAAUUUUGCAAAGUUUCAUACUUUUGGAAGAGCAACAUAAGGUGGCUCUUAUAGCCUCGGUGAUGUAUGAGAUAUAUUUUCUCUCAUAAGACUUCUUGUCUCCAAGUACUGUAGUUAUUCAUUUCAAUAUCUGUAUUCACUAUAAUUCAGUAUUUUGGUUACAUAAUUAAUAAAGGUUUCAUAUUCACUGACCUACCCAAGGACCAAGCACAUGAUCAAGGGAUUCUUAGCUAUGGACCUACCGAAGGACUAAUGACUACAUGUCACUGUCUAGCACCAAGUCUUUCUAUAAGAAGCCGGCCACCCCUAAGCAAAAGGGGGAUAACUUAUUUCCCAUUUGUUUACUUCUCCAUCUUCGAAAUAUCUAGCAGGGCAACCGUAAGUCUCUAAUGACUAUAUGGUGCUUUUGUUUCUACACACUAGGUAUAUGAUUAGGAAUGGGCACGGAAGGCACUAGGAAUUAUGGGUGCAACUGUGGAAUCCCAACGUGCACUCUUGGGUUCAGCCAGCCGUUGUGCCUGUUAGAGUUAAGCAAAAAAGCCAGGAGCGACAAGCCCCUGUAGAUCGAUCUACACCAGCAGUAUACGUACGUGCUACGAUCAACAAGGCACGGUAGCUGUAUGAUGACCAAGCGAAGAUAGCUUCACGUGUAGAGGCGCAAGGAUCAAUCCAGCUGCCUGACUGUGUGCUAAGUUAGCACAUACACGAACGUUACUGUUCCUGGGGGUUUUGGAUCUAGCUACUCUGUACUCUCCCUCGAUCUUUACUGCUCUGACACUUUCUUUCUUGGCUGGAAUGCUCUUUCUUGCCCAUCUGGAACGUGAACCGGAGGAUGAUGCCAAUGAUGCAUCUAGUAGAGAUCAUCUGCAUCCCUAACUGACCUGACCCAAGGCUGACCAGAUAGACAUACAGCAAGUAUUUGUUUGCUUUUAGCCUGGCUUGUAAGACAGACGAUCACAAUGGCUUGGAAUUCCACUACCAAAAUGGCUUGGGAUAUCAUGCAUAAAUAUCAGAAAUGUCGUCCUUAGCAUCCACACUAGACGAGAGAAAACCUAGCUCGUCGUUGCAGAUAGUAGGCCUUACUGCUGGUGAUCAGCAUUGCCACGGUCAGAGUCAGUACAAUGAUGGUCCUAUUGAUCCAUUGAAACUGCAUUACCAAGUGAAAUCAUGCACACAGCUUGGCGGGAUGAGUAGAGCACCAUUGGUUGCACCCACUUCGAGAAUGGCCCACUGGACCUUGGUAAACUCUUUACAUACUUCUAUCAGUCUAGCUCUCUUAAUAAACUAACGAAGGAUAGACGAUUCAAAAAUUAAACCAACUAUACUCAUAUCAAGUUGAAUGGAACCGAAAGAUGGUCUAACCUUUAUAUAUAUAAUCUAAAGCUUGGAUGCAAACUGAUCCGAGCUAAGCCUAGUUCUCUCGCAUGAGAUUGUCAUGUCUGCUAGAACAUGUAAAUGAAUCAGGUGAGAAGGGGCUUAAAUUGAGAAGAUACUGCCUCGAAUUUUUCUUUGAAUCAAUGCAAACAACAAGGUAAAUUACAGCUCCAUAACCUUCUUAAUUAUGCAAGCCAUCAGUGCUGAAUGAUCUGGCAUUUUAUCUCCAAAAGACACAUUCAAGCAACUGGGCAUAACCCGGUCAUAAUACGAGACUAAGUACCAAAGCAAUCAACAGUCUAAUAUUCUAGGUUGCAAUCAAAAUGACUAGUAGAAUGCAGAAGCAAUAACAUUGCCCUAAACCUGUUUAGAUUUUGCAGCAAAGAAUGUAAAUUGCAGUUAGAAAACUCUACUGCUUAUUCAGUUAUUGGCAAAUAAAUAAGUGAAUCCAAUGGCUUGAAUAUAGUUUGGAGAAGUAGAUACAAAUUAAGUUUAUUAGAAUCAGCAGCAAUAGCUCAGGACAUACACUCUCUUUACAGCCUUCUAUUAGACUAGCUCGCUUAUAAACUGACAAAGGACAAACCUAUAAAAAAAUAAACCAACUAUGCUCAGAAUGAAUACAACAAGUUGAAGCAUAUUAGGAAAAAUAAAUUGGUCUAAAAUUGAUAUCUAAAGCUUGAAAGCAAAUAGAUUAAGCUAAGCUUAAUUCUUUUGCAGGAGAGAUAAUGUGCCAAAAGCCCAGAGCAUGUAAACGAGUCAUGUGAAAAGGGCUAAAUGUACAAUUGAGAAGAUGUUGUCCCCUUCAGUUUUCUUUGAUUAGACGCAAACAACGACAUGAGCAAAAUCAUCUUGUUCGAGGGAAUGAUAAAGCUGUUGUAGCCGCUAACCUACCAGAGGACCAAGCCCAUAACUGAUGGAUUCUUAUAUAUUGACCUACCAGAUGACAAAAGACUUCAUGUCACUGCCUACUACCCAAGUCUUUAUAAGAAGCAAGAAGUAGGCAAAGGAUGAGUAGCAUAUUUCUCGUUUUACUAGUCUACCUUGGAAUUAUGCAGUUCCAUUUUAUGCAUUAUUUGUUGUGUCUCUGCCCAGUAGGGAUAUGAAUUUGAUAGGCAUAGGCAUAGGCAUAGCAGACACCAGGAACUACCAAUAGACCACCGGGAUCACAAGAUGCAACCGGUCGACUAGCUAUGGCACCGUCAUCAGCAUCUGGUGCGACUGACCCAUAGGCCACGCUCUCUCGUGCCAUCAUGAGGAAUCAGCAAAGGGAUGAACAGGGGAUCAAAGGUUGGGAUGGAAUGGGAAUUGGACAAUAUUUGGUCGAUGCAAUCAUAACUGGCGAAAGAGGCUAGAGAGUUAAAGCAGACAUGUGCCACUUGCUGAUAAGAGAUAUCUGUGUAGAGAUCAGUAAUAGAAAUGUCUUCCAGUCGUCCUUAGAAAACCACACUACACAUGUUGCUAUUUCACAAGCUCACAGUUAAAAAACCAAUCACCUAGUUGUUGGAGAUCGUUGCUGCUGGCACCUCGGUGAUAACAAUGACAUGGAGGGGUUCAUGUUGAUCCACUGACACAGUGUAGCCACCUUCAGUAAAAAAAUAUGCACAGAUUGGCAAAAUAACGUCAGAAAUGCACCUGCUUCAAGAAUGACAUGCUAGAUAAGUACCGUGUCGGGCAUACCUGCAAAACAUGGAAGAUUAUAUUGUGAAUCUCUUGCUACCCAAACUUGUCAAGCUUUAGUUAUUUGUACUUGAUAAGUCACUUGACAGAAUUCUGUUAAGACUAGCUCUCUUAAUCAACCAACGAAGUAAAGACCCUCCAGAAAAAAAAUUAAACCAACUGUGCUCACAAUGAAUAAAACAAGCCGAAGCGAAGGAAAGAUGGACUAACCCUUGACAAUUUUUAAAGCUUGGAUGCAACGUGAUUCGAGCCAAGCCUAGCUUUCUUCUGUUUAAAUGGAGAUUUAAUUGCUAAAUGUAGAAUUCAGAAAAUACUGUCUCCAUGUUUUUUUUACUGAAUGCAAACAGCAACCCUGGCAAAUUACACCCCUUAAUUAUGUAGCGCCAACAAUCCUACAUUUAUCUCCAAAAGACGCAUUUAAGCAACAGAAUAUAACCAGAGAAGAGGCUGUAAACACCAAAGCAAUCAACAACAGUCUUAUAGGUUUCAAAGCAGAAUAAUGUGUCAAAGGAUAUAACUUGCAAGACUCCUGCUUAUUUGCUUGUUAACAAGAAAUUAAAUGAACCCAAUGCAUAUCUCUUGAAUAAAGUUUAGAAAAGUAUAUAACAAAUCCAAGUGUUGCAGGAGAAUAAGUUAAUUAGCACCAGCAGCAAUGGCUGAAGACAGAUCUACUUAUACUGAUCCGUAUCGUGAAAAACAUGUCCAGGAUGAAAUUAAAUUGCCGGGACUGAAGUUCUGAGCAUGAUCUGUACUUGAUACAUGUGAACAUAUAUAACACUCUAAAAAGUAUGAAUGAAUUUGAAAUAUUGUGUGCAAUAUCAAAAGAGUUAUCUCCAACUGAAAUCAGUGUAGGAAAAAAAUUACAGAAACUCCCACAUGAAAUUGAUCGGCCAGCACCAGGCAGAAAAUAGAUAUUAGAACUAAUUAGGAACAGGACAGUUUAGCCAAAAAAAAACGUAAAAAUUCCAUUUUUCAAUCAAGUGGUGAUAUGUAUGGGCUGCUAUUACGGAUACCAGAUCAUGUUAUCUUGUCGGCAGCAUUAGAAAUUAUUUCCUUUAUAUUGACAUCCUAAGUAAAUACAUAUAGCUUCUAAAACAAGGUGCUUUCUCUUUUAUUGUUAUAGUGUACAAUUCUCAGAGUUUAGGUGCGGUCACAUAUAUCUUCUAAAACAUCUCGAUGUCAAAAGAGCAAAAAAAAGUACUUGUUUGCCGUGACGAUACAACAUUGAACUGGGCUCUAAGUGCUAAUGUUAGCUUUCAAACAAAAUGGUCCUUCUCAGAGCUUUGAAACUGGUAUUAAACAACAAUUCAGCUCAUAAGGCAAAUAUAUAUAUAUAUAUAUAUAUAUAUAUAUAUAUAUAUAUAACUGCAAAUUAGACCGAUAAUAGUGCAUUGCCCUUCAUUGCUUAGCAGAAAGGGUUUGAGCACAGUGAAUUUUUGCCCUUGUUAUGACAAGCGAUUAAUCCAUAACAGAGAGAUGACGGUUAUGUUAUUGUGGCAGAUCACCAUUGUGGCUAGUAAAGAGACGAAUAUGAGAGAAUUCUGCAAGGCUUCAUACUUUUGGAAGAGCCACAUGAGGUGGAUCUUAUAACGUCGGUGAUGUAUGAGAUAUAUUUUCUCUCUUUUAAGACUUCUUGUCUCCAGGUGCUGUAGUUAUUAAUCUUCAAUAUCUCUGGAACUCGAUGAAACUAGAGAAUGUUGGCUCUACUUAGCUUGUUUUUCGUUUCUCUUUGGGGACGGAAUGACAACCAUUGUUAUUUAUUUUCAUGAACUUUUGUAACUGUAAAAUGCAUUGAUUAGGUGGACCAUCUUGAUCUUGCUACUAAGUCAAAAGAGCAAUACAAAUCUUUCUUUUCAAUGAUAAAAAAGCAAAAGAAAUCAUUGUUUGGUUAAAGAAUUGAUUAAGGUUCCAUAUCCUAAGGCCUACCCCAGGACCAAGCACAUGAUCAAGAAAUUGUUAGCUAUUGACCUACCAAAGGAGUAAUGACUGCAUGCCACUGUCUAGCACCAAGUCUUCUAUAAGAAGCCGGGCAUCCCUAAGCAAAAGAGGAAUAGCUUACAUCUCUUUUUACUUCUCCAUCUUCAAAAUAUGUAGCCAGGCAUCCCUAAGUCUUCUAAUGACUAUAUGGUGCUUUUGUGUCUCUAUACACUAGCUAUAUGAUUGGGAAUUGGCAUGGAAGGCAUUAGGAAUUAUCGAUGCAUUUCUGGAACCACCACAUGCACUCUCGGGUUCAGCUAACCGUCCUGCCUCUCCCUCUUACUCCACCACAUUGGCUACUCUCUCUCAAUAUCUACUGCUGUGACAGUCUCAUACUCAUCCAAUCUUUAGAAAGCAUCAAUGAUCUUUUCCUUCUUGGCUGGGAUACUCUCAGAGCAUCGAUGCAAUAUUUUCUUUCUUGGGCAGGGUGCUCUCAGAGUCUCAUAUGCCACGCUCUCAUGGCAUCUAGGAAGCAUCCAUGGGGUAUUACUAUUUCUUUCUUGCUGGGAUGGCGCGUGAAUCAGAGAAGACUGAUUCACAUCACUGAUGCCAAGGAAGGCAAGGUCGCAAGGAUGCACCUGACCUGACCAAAGGCUGACCAGGGAGACAUACUUGUUGCUUUUAGCCUGGGCUUUUAGGAUAGAGAUAAUCACAAUGGCUUGGAAUUCCGCUAAUAAUAAAUGGCCUUGAACAUUCCAUCCAUCCAGUCAUCCACAACUGUGAAUUGCUGAAUUUGACCAAGCUCAUAACUGAUGGAUUCUUAUCUAUUGACCUACCGGGUGAUGAAACACUUCAUGUCACUGCCUACUACGGUACUACCCAAGUCUUUAUAAGGAGCAAGGCUUCAUGUCACUGCCUACUACGGUACUACCCAAGUCUUUAUAAGGAGCAAGGCGUAAGCAAAGGAUGGGUAGCAUAUUUCUCAUUUUACUUGUCUACCUUGGAAUUAAGUAAUCCCAUUUUAUGCAUUAUUUUGUUGUGUCUGCGCAGUAGGGAUAUGAAUUUUAUGCAUAGAAGACACCAGGAACUACCGAUGGACCACCAGGAUCACAACAUGCAACCAGUCGACUAGCUAUGCCGACCGUCAUCGUCGUCUGGUGCGACUGACCCAUAGGCCACGCUCUCUCGUAACAUCAUGAGGAAUCAGCAAAGGGACGAAAUGGGGAUCAGAGGUUGGGAUGGAAUGGGAAUUGGACAAUAUUUGGUCGAUGCAAUCAUGACUGACAAGAGAGGGCUAGAAAGAGCAGACGUGUGAACAUGUCUACUAAUACUGAAGACAGAUCUACUAAUACUGAUCCGAAUCUGUCCGGGAUGAAAUUAAAUUGCUGGGACUUCAAGUUCUGUGCAUGAUCUGUACUUGAUACAUGUGAACAUAUAACACUAUAACAGUAUGAAUGCAUUUGAAAUACCGUGUGCAAUAUCAAAAUGAAUUAUCUCUAACUUGAAUCAGUGCAGGAUUUUUUUACAGAAACACCCACAUGAAAUUGAUCGGUCAGCACCUGGCAGAAAAUACUACCUCCGUUUCAAAAUAUAUGACGUUUUGGUAGACUAGCUAGCCUACCAAAACGUCAUAUAUUUUGAAACGGAGGUAGUACAUGUUAGAACUACUGAGGAACAGAACAGUUUAGCCAAAAAAAAAAGUCCAUAACAAUACAUUAUUACAUCAAGUGGUUAUAUUUAUGAACUGUUGUUACAGAUACCAAAUAAUUCUAUCAUCUUUUCAACAGCAUUAGAAAUCCUUUCGCAUAAUAAUUACUGACAUCUGAAUGGAAAUUACCAUAUAAUAAAUAGCUAAAAAUGGCAUUAUGGAAUCAUAGGAUACACUCAUUCUCACUCCAAAUUAUGUAGUGGCGUUCUCCAGGACAGUGUUACAUUAACUUUCAUAUUGGCUGGGUAAUUAAAAGAGUGGCUGUGAGGAAUAUCCUCGUUAACAUCAGAACAUUCCCUCAAAAUUAGAACAUUUAGGGUAAUUCUCUUGUAAUGUUAUAAAGUGUAUGUUUCUGAAACCUUACACAGAUGCAUGGUUUUUGAGUCGCGACUAGUCAAGUCGCCGCCAGCCCUGCGGCGCGGCGAUUAGUCGACCCAAGUCGCUGUAUAGUCGCCAUAAGUCGCUGUAUAGUCGCGAGUCGCCCUGAUUUCUAGAAAACGACUUGGCGAUUAGUCGGCGACUAUACAGCGACUAAUCAGCGACUCAAAAACCAUGCACAGAUGUGCAGUCACCCCAGUCUACUGAUACAGCAAGCUUCCCUACAUAUAGGUUCUUAACAUAUCGAUGACGAAAGAGCAAAAAAUCGUCAACUUUUGCCACAUUAAAUUGGACUAAAGGUGUUGAUGUUGUCAUUCAAACAGAGGAGUCCCUGACUAAGAUAUGAAGGUGAUAUUUUUCUGUUUAAUUCAUGUGUAGAGAAAGCUAAACACCAUAAGUAGAAAACUCUAGUUCAACAGGAAUAACUGAACAACACUACAUUCAAAUUACAUCGAACGAAAUGGAAUUGAGUGAGACAAGCUUAGCCUACAUAAUUGGUCAUCAUUUUGCCCGCUAGCUCAUUUACCUCUUUUUGUAAUAAAUUAAUCCGUUCACAGAGCUAUAAUUCAAAUAGAGCAUCAUCAUCAAUGUGCACAGGCACCAUCAUGAAGAACACGGAAGAUUAAUUUUGCAAAAUUUCUCGCUAACCAAACUUGUCAAGUUUCAGCAGUCUGUAAUUUGCAAGGUCCCCUUAGUCCCUUACAGAGUUCGGUUAGACUAGCUCUUUUAAUGAACCGAUGAAGUGAAGAUGCUUCGGAGAAAAAAUUAAAGCAAGUAUGCUCACAAUGAAUAUAACAAGUUUAAGCGAAUUAGGAUAGAUCUUCUAACCUUCACAAUAUAUAAAGCUUGGAUGCAACUGAUUCGAGCUAAGCCUAGUUUCCAGGAGAUCAUCUGCUAGAACCUGCAACAAUAAGGAAGAGCUACAAAAGUGAGCAUGUAAGUAUAUCAGGUGAAAAAGGGUAAAUGGAGAUUUAAUUGCUAAAUGUAGAUACUGUCUCCAUUUUUUCUUUGACCGGAUGCAAACAGCAACACUGGCAAACUAUACCCCUUAAUUAUGCAAAGCCACCAGUCCUGCCGUUUACCUCCAAAAGACACACUUAAACAUCCGAAGAUAACUCAGUAAGGAGAAGAGUGUGUUAGCACCAAAGCAAUCAACAGUCCAAUAGUACAGGUUUCAAAGCAGGAGAAUGUGUCAAAGGAUGUGUAACUUGCGAUGAGAACUCUCCUACUUAUUGGGCUGUUGGAAAACGAAGUAAAUGAAUCUAAUGCAUAUCUCUUGAAUAUAGUUUGGAGUAGAUAUCAAAUCCAAGUCUCGCAGGAGAACAAGGUAAUUAGCAUCAGCAGCAAUAGCUUAAGACAGAUAUUCGUUUUGAUCAGCAUCGCAUCAUGAAAAAACAUGUCCAGGAUGAAAUUAAAUUACUGGGACUUUAACUCCUGUGCAUAAUCUGUACUUGGUACAGGUGAACAAAAAUUAACAGGAUGAACAAAUUUGGAAUAUUUUUGCAAUAACAGCGUAGUAAAAAAAAUUGCAGGAAGUCACGCAUGAAAUUGAUCGGCCAGCACAAGGCAGGAAGUAGAUAUUAGAGAACUCGUGAGUAGAUAACAGAACACUUUAGCCAAGAAAAUUCCAUCAACAACACAUUUUUCAAUCAAGUGAACAUAUCUACAAAUUGCUAUUAUGGGUACCAAAGUCAUGCUAUCUUGCUGACAGCAUCAGAAAAUACUUUGCAUAAUAAUUACUGAGAUCUAAAUGGAGAUUCACACUUAUUCUCAUUGCAAAUUAUGUGGUGGCAUUCUCCAGAAGGACAGUGGUUACUACUUGCAUAUUGACUGGGUAAUUAAAAUAUUAGCCUUGAGGAAUAUACAUGUGAACAUCAGGACAUGGAUGGUAGCAUUUUCUCUAGUGUUAUAAAGUGUAUGUUUCUGAAACCUUAGAUGUAUUAUUACCUACAUAUAGGUUCUAAACAUAUCAAUGACAAAAGAGUCUUUUUGCCAUAUUGAACUGGACUGAAGUUAUUGGUCAAACAGGAGAUAUAAAGGUGAUACUUUUCUAUUUAUGUAAUAUGUAAGAGAAAGCUAACAGCAUAAGUAGAAAACACUAGUUCAAUGGGAAUAACUGAAAAACACUACGUUCAAAUUACAUCCAACAAAAUGGAAUUGACUAAUUGAGUGAGACAAGCUCAACCUACAUAGUUGGUCAUCAUUUUGCCUGCUAACUCACUCGCCACCUCUUUAUGUCCUAAAUCAACCCAUUCACAGAGCUAUGCAAAGGGAGCAUCAUCCAUCAA
rnacentral:lncRNA from 1 species